AGCAGAACGGUCAAAAUCAAGAGUGACAGGUGACACGAAGAUGAAGAAGAAUAACAACAGCAGUGGUGGAGGCGGUGGUGGAGGCGGUGGUGGAGGCAGGGACGGCAGCAGUUGUUUCAGAAAAUUGUUAAAGGGAAUAAUAUUCUCUUUGCUAGUCA